rnacentral:rRNA from 1 species
UACGGGGGGGGCAAGCGUUGUUCGGAAUUACUGGGCGUAAAGGGCUCGUAGGUGGCCAACUAAGUCAGACGUGAAAUCCCUCAGCUUAACUGGGGAACUGCGUCUGAUACUGGAUGGCUUGAGUUUGGGAGAGGGAUGCGGAAUUCCAGGUGUAGCGGUGAAAUGCGUAGAUAUCUGGAGGAACACCGGUGGCGAAGGCGGCAUCCUGGACCAAUUCUGACGCUGAGGAGCGAAAGCCAGGGGAGCAAACGGG